rnacentral:tRNA from 13 species
UAUAUGUGGUGACGGACGCGGGCUUCAAAAUCGACGG